rnacentral:rRNA from 1 species
AUGGCGGUGUCGGCGUCGUCGUCGGGGGUGCGGGCGCGGGCGAGGUUGCUGGCGUGCGUGGCCGUGGCGGCGCUGCUGCUGCUCGCGCCGGGCGACGUGGACGCCGGCCGGCAUGGGCACGGGCGGGGGCGGGGGCGCGGGAGCGGGAGCGUGGCACACAGGCAUACCAAGGGCCUGCGGCCGGGGAAGGCGAUGGCGGCGAGGCCGUACCCGGCGAACGCGACGGCGGCGGAGGCGAUCGAGCGGAGGUUCACGCGGUGGGUGUGGUUCAUGGGCGGGCUUGACCACAGCGUGUUCCAGCGCGCGCUCAACCGCGCGCUGCUCCCGUCGACUCGCACGAUCGUCGUGGACAGGACGCCCGGGGCGGGAGACUUCACCACCAUCCAGGCCGCCGUGGACUCGCUCCCGCUCAUCAACCUGAUGCGCGUCGUCAUCAAGGUCAAUGCCGGCACCUACACGGAGAAGGUGAGCAUCUCGCCGCUGCGCGGGUUCGUGACGGUGGAGGGCGCGGGCGCGGACCGGACGGUGGUGCAGUGGGGCGACACGGCGGACACGGCCGGGCCCUGGGGCCGCCCCUUCGGCACCUUCGCCUCCGCCACCUUCGCCGUCAACUCGCAGUUCUUCGUCGCCAAGAACAUCACCUUCAAGAACACGGCGCCGGUGCCUCGGCCGGGCGCGCUGGGGAAGCAGGGGGUGGCGCUGCGGAUAUCGGCGGACAACGCGGCGUUCGUGGGGUGCAACUUCCUGGGCGCGCAGGACACGCUGUAUGACCACCUGGGCCGCCACUACUACAAGGACUGCUACAUCGAGGGCUCCGUCGACUUCAUCUUCGGCAACGCCCUCUCCCUCUACGAGGGUUGCCACGUGCACGCGAUCUCGCCGCACUACGGGGCGCUGACGGCGCAGAACCGGCGGAGCAUGCUGGACGACACGGGGUUCUCCUUCCUCAACUGCCGGGUGACGGGGUCGGGGGCGCUCUACCUGGGCCGCGCCUGGGGCACCUUCUCCCGCGUCGUCUUCGCCUACACCUACAUGGACAACAUCAUCAUCCCCCGCGGCUGGUACAACUGGGGCGACCCAACGCGAGAGAUGACGGUGUUCUACGGGCAGUACAAGUGCUCGGGGCCGGGGGCCAACCACGCCGGCAGGGUGGACUGGUCCCGGGAGCUCACCGACGAGGAGGCCAAGCCAUUCAUCUCCCUCAGCUUCAUCGACGGCCUCGAGUGGCUCAGGUUGUAG